rnacentral:rRNA from 1 species
GACGGAGGGUGCAAACGUUGUUCGGAAUCACUGGGCGUAAAGGGCGCGUAGGCGGACUUGUAAGUCGGGAGUGAAAACUCGGGGCUCAACCCCGAGCCUGCUUCCGAAACUGCGAGUCUUGAGGACCGGAGAGGAAAGUGGAAUUCCUAGUGUAGCGGUGGAAUGCGUAGAUAUUAGGAAGAACACCAGUGGCGAAGGCGACUUUCUGGACGGUUCCUGACGCUGAGGCGCGAAAGCGUGGGGAGCAAACAGG